CUAAGUUUGAUGGCGACCGGCGCACGGGUGAGUAACACGUAUCCAACCUGCCGAUGACUCGGGGAUAGCCUUUCGAAAGAAAGAUUAAUACCCGAUGGCAUAGUUCUUCCGCAUGGUGGAACUAUUAAAGAAUUUCGGUCAUCGAUGGGGAUGCGUUCCAUUAGGUUGUUGGCGGGGUAACGGCCCACCAAGCCUUCGAUGGAUAGGGGUUCUGAGAGGAAGGUCCCCCACAUUGGAACUGAGACGCGGUCCAAACUCCUACGGGAGGCAGCAUG
rnacentral:rRNA from 1 species